rfam:Cephalotus follicularis DNA, scaffold: scaffold6957, isolate: St1.
GGGUGCGAUCAUACCAGCACUAAUGCAUGGGAUUCCAUCAGAACUUCGUAGUUAAGCAUGCUUGGGCGAGAAUAGUUCUAAGAUGGGCUUGUCAUAUGACUUUCAUAGAUACAGGAUUGUGGCUU